UACGUAGGGGGCUAGCGUUGUCCGGAAUCAUUGGGCGUAAAGAGCGUGUAGGCGGCCCGGUAAGUCCGCUGUGAAAGUCGGGGGCUCAACCCUCGAAUGCCGGUGGAUACUGUCGGGCUAGAGUGCGGAAGAGGAGAAUGGAAUUCCCGGUGUAGCGGUGAAAUGCGCAGAUAUCGGGAAGAACACCCGUGGCGAAGGCGGUUCUCUGGGACGGUACUGACGCUGAGAAGCGAAAGCAUGGGGAGCGAACAGG
rnacentral:rRNA from 1 species